rnacentral:rRNA from 1 species
AGAGACAGCAGUCGCCGCGGGAAUACGUAGGGGGCAAGCGUUAUCCGGAAUAACUGGGCGUAAAGGGUGCGCAGGUGGUUUAACAAGUUAGUGGUGAAAGGCAUAGGCUCAACCAAUGUAAGCCAUUAAAACUGUUUAACUUGAGUGCAGGAGAGGAAAGUGGAAUUCCUAGUGUAGCGGUGAAAUGCGUAGAUAUUAGGAGGAAUACUAGUGGCGAAGGCGACUUUCUGGACUGCAACUGACACUGAGGCACGAAAGCGUGGGGAGCAAACAGGAUUAGAUACCCCGGUAGUCCCUGUCUCUUAUACA